UCUCAAUCCCACGGUUACUCUCGCUAGUUUUUUUCGUGUGUGUGUGAGGGUUCUGGUUAAGACGGACUGUGAAACACCCGAUUUGGCCGCCAGUUUGUUGCAACUCCUCUUCUGCUCUUUGGCGCCCCAAUGCGCCGCCUGGGCCGACGUACACUCACCUCGCUGGCGCUGACUGCUGCUCGCCGAUGGAUUGAAUCGCAGGAGCCGUGCACGGCAGAGGCAAUUCGCGAAUUGUUGCAGCAGGCGGAAAAGGAGCAAGAGAGGCGUGAGCUCGCUGUCGACCAGCGCAAGGUGGUGUUUACCGCCGCCAGCAGCGGGGACCAUCAUGCACGCAUCGCUGCCGCUGAAACGUUCGACGUGGCGGCGGCGGGGCUUCCGCGGCCGCCAAACUUUUGCUACAUGAACGUUUCGGUGGACUUCGCCUGUAUGGUGGAUGCACCGGAGGUCGUCUGGUUCAACAUGUGCAAGGCGAAUGGCUUCACCCCGUCCUCGGUGAAGGCUGGCUCCGUGCACAUGCUAGGAGGAAUGGUGUGCCAUCAGCGCCUAGGCGGGGGGUACAUUCAAGUGAUUCUCGGCUGCAUUCCAGACUUGGAAACGGACUCAUUCACGUUCGAUGCUGUUCCGGAUAAAGACGAGAUCGCGGCGGCAGGCCGAGCGCCGCCAGCGGUGGCAUUUGCUAUGCUCGACGCUGGUCUUACACUCCAGUACGAGCAGGUUCUCUCAGCGCACCUCAGCAGUCUCAGCAGCUCGCUCGGCAAGGAAUGCCCUUUGGUUGGUGGACUCUACCCUCCUGUUGGCAGUGUGAUCGGUGGAGGAGAUCCGAGCGGCAAGCUUGAGGACUCAAUCUUUUUCAUCAACGACCGUGUUUAUAGAGGCAGUGCGGCUGCGGUUGUGCUGCGUAGCAAGCUGUUGAAGGCACACGCGGCGAGUGUGGUUCCGUCGAUUUCACUCGGCAGCGCUAGUGUAACUGAUGUAGCGUGCGAGGGUGGUGUUGCGACGGUACGGACGCUGAACAACCGGCCUGCCAUGGAGGUUGUCAAAGAGGUGUACUCGCUGCCUGAGAUUGCUGAGAAGCCGAGCAAGGUGUUCCUUGGCCUGCGACAUGGCGACGUGCAUGUGCCGGUCUCGUUCGUGGGGCAUCCGGACAGCGGUGAGCUCAGCUGUACUCUUCCUCCUGGAAUCUCUCUAGCCCAGAGCGAUACUGUUGAUUUCCUCGUAGAUGACGUAGAACUGGACACGGAAAUGGCCGCCAGCCUCUUGAUCAACAUGGAAAAACGCAUUGCGCCAAUAUUUGUCGAGAAGGACAUCAAUGUUGCGCGCGAGGCGCGUCGUAACAUUGUGGCAUCCUCUACGGCGGCGUUUCACUUCUCCCACGGCGGACUGAAUACCAUCGCCAAACCGGAAAUCCCCGCCGUUAGCUUGGGCAGCGCUGGUGCGAUCUUUGCGCCAUCAAUUUUGCAGCGCUGCGUGGGCCGCUCGUGCCCGAACGCUGGCUUCUUCUCGCCCGGCCAGGUGGCGACAGUAGCAGAUCUCACGUCCAUCUUUCCGCGGUCUAGCACUUACUGCUUUAUGCAGGGAACGGAGUAGGGCAGGCUAUGUCGCAUGUGCGCGCGUGUAUGUGGUGGUUUGUGGGGCAGUUGCUGCUCAAGAAGGAAGCACAUGACUUAGCUCUGACCUACUGACAUGUGGACUUUCAGGUAGUUUGCUCCUGUUUCCACUCUGGUAUUCGUCUGUCUUCACAGGUGGCCAUCG
rnacentral:misc_RNA from 1 species